AUUCCACCUCCCACACCUUCCCAACCCUGGCUGUGCUGGCCCUGACUGAGAGGAGGGGGCUUCCACUUCCAUCACCUGGCAAGGGAACCUCCACAGCCCAAGAAUAUUAACAUUUAUCAGGUGCCGGGCAUGGGCCUCAUGUGUUUUAUGUAAUUCAAUCCUCCCAACAAAAGUAUGAGAAAGACCACACUCAGGCCAAGCACUGUGGUUCCCGCCUGAAAUCCCAGCGCUUUGAGAGGUGGAGGCAAGAGGAUUGCUUGAGCUCAGAAGUUCAAGACCACCCUGGGCAACAUAAGCCAGCCCUGCAGCCCAGCCUUCAACAUGAGCAACUCCUGCUCUCUGUAGCUCCAGGCCCAGCCUGGACCUAUCUUUCAGAGCCAUAAUGCUGAGACAGUCCCUGAGUCUUGGAUGAACACAGGACUCACAGUGUCUACACCGGACAGUUUCUGUUUGCACGACAUUGAGUAAACUUCACAUCCAUCGGGGAAGUUACCCUUUGGGAUUGCUGAUGAAGGUGAGGAGAGGAUGCUGUUCUGAGAGCUGCUGAUAAUACGUGGAUCCACACCCACAGGCUUGAGCUGCUUGAUUGAAAUUCACGUCAAAAUGGAAUUCUGGUUUGGCUCAACUUGACUACUAUGGAUGAUGAAAAUAAAUCCCUGGGUCACACAAGGAUAGUGAUUGAGUAGAGCUUGCUUGCUGGCACAGGAAUGACAUUUCAACUGGAAUUAAAUUGUCGUCAGUUAACAGAC
rnacentral:antisense_RNA from 1 species